rnacentral:rRNA from 1 species
GACGAACGCUGGCGGCGUGCUUAACACAUGCAAGUCGAACGGAAAGGCCCUGCUUUUGUGGGGUGCUCGAGUGGCGAACGGGUGAGUAACACGUGAGUAACCUGCCCUUGACUUUGGGAUAACUUCAGGAAACUGGGGCUAAUACCGGAUAGGAGCUCCUGCUGCAUGGUGGGGGUUGGAAAGUUUCGGCGGUUGGGGAUGGACUCGCGGCUUAUCAGCUUGUUGGUGGGGUAGUGGCUUACCAAGGCUUUGACGGGUAGCCGGCCUGAGAGGGUGACCGGCCACAUUGGGACUGAGAUAGGGCCCAGACUCCUACGGGAGGCAGCAGUGGGGAAUAUUGCACAGUGGGCGGAAGCCUGAUGCAGCAACGCCGCGUGCGGGAUGACGGCCUUCGGGUUGUAAACCGCUUUCGCCUGUGACGAAGCGUGAGUGACGGUAAUGGGUAAAGAAGCACCGGCUAACUACGUG